rnacentral:rRNA from 1 species
CCUACGGGUGGCAGCAGUGGGGAAUAUUGGACAAUGGGCGAAAGCCUGAUCCAGCCAUGCCGCGUGUGUGAAGAAGGCCUUCGGGUUGUAAAGCACUUUCAGUGGGGAAGAAAGCCUUGGGGCUAAUACCCUCGAGGAAGGACAUCACCCACAGAAGAAGCACCGGCUAACUCCGUGCCAGCAGCCGCGGUAAUACGGAGGGUGCGAGCGUUAAUCGGAAUUACUGGGCGUAAAGCGCGCGUAGGCGGUCUGAUAAGCCGGUUGUGAAAGCCCCGGGCUCAACCUGGGACCGGCAUCCGGAAGGGGUGGGAAAGAGUGGGGGAGAGAGAGUGAGGAGGCGAGGUGGAACGGUGACAUGGGGAGACGUCGGGAGGGAGAGGAGGGGGGAGGGAGGCAGGAAAGAAGGAAACGAAAGCGGUGGAGCGAAAUACGGGGUAGCAAACGGGAGUAGAAAGAAGGGGAGUC